CUAGAACCAUUUGUUGCACUUUUCUGUCUUACACCGCAAGACAGUUGCGCUUCGUGGGUACUGUAUACUAUCAGAACAAUACCAUCGGAAAUAGAACACACACGCGUACUUUAAAACAUAUUUAUUUAAAACUAUUCAAACGAUAAAAUACAUAACAUGACAAUCCAUCUGGUUUUCUCUCGUGCUUUCAGUCUGACAAUCAAUUCGAAGUCUAACAUUUAUGACAUACGAUACCAUUUCUUACGUCAAUCAACUAAAUCACCCAUUGUUUGGUCUCCUACGGUGUUAUCAAUAGUAUAAUGUUACAAAUUAUUCUACACACUCCCCCCUUUGAGCCUGUAAGGGUCAAACAUGACUUGUGUUCUCCAACGUGCAUCCAACGCAGCUGCUCUCCUAGGUCUAUUACUAUGGACACAGCUUUCCACCUUACCCUUCUCUCCGUCUUUCUCAUUCAUUUCCGUCUUUCCUUUCUCAUUAAUUUUCGUCUUUCCUUUCUGGUUAUCAUACCCAUCCACUUCAUUUUCAACUUUAUUAUCCUUUCUUUCUUCCGUACUGCUUCCGUUCUCAUUUAACUCUACAGGAUACAAUUUCUGAACUGGUCUAUUAAGAUAUACUGGAUUUCCUUUAGUCAUCACUCUCACUUUCGCUCCUCGAACAACUUCAUCUUUACCGACAAUUAAACUCUCAAUCCUACCUAACUUCCAAAAUCCUCUCUUAAGGUUCUCGUCAAAUACUAAAACUACAUCUCCCUUCUUCACGUUCCUAUCCCUCUUCUCCCUCUUGCUUCUAUGAUGCUCUCUCAAAUUCGUCAAAUAUUCUUUUCUCCAUCUCUCCCAAAAGUGAACUCGCAGUUUCGCUAGAUGCCUAAACCUACGCUUAACCUUUGUCUCAUCAUUCUCUUCAAUUUUGUAACUAGUCUCGUCUGGAAUUAAACUCAAUCUACGACCAAAGAUCAAAUGAUUCGGUGUUAGUACAUCGUUUUCAACCUCAUCGUAAAUGUAGGUUAACGGCCUCGAAUUCAACGUGCCUUCAACCUCAACUAAAGUUGUCAACAGUUCUUCGAAUGUCAACUUGGCAUUCCCCAGCACCUUACGUAAACACCUCUUCACCAAACCAACCAACCUUUCAAAGAAUCCUCCCCACCAAGGCGCUCUCUCUAAAUUAAACUGCCAUUUCACACAAUUAUCUUGCAUAUAAGCUCUCACAUUCCCGCUCUCGUACAACUUCUUCACUGCUUUCUGUGCCGCCUUAAAAGUUUUAGCAUUGUCUGAAACAAUAAGCGUCGGUGCCCCUCGCCUGCUUGCAAAUCUCCUCAAACAGUUCAAGAAACUAGGCGCACUAAGAUUUCUUACCAAAUCCAAGUGAACUGCCCUCGUGACACAACACGUGAACAACGCUAUGUACACCUUCACC